rnacentral:rRNA from 1 species
GCAGUCGACGGAGCACCCUUGACUGAGGUUUCGGCCAAAUGAUAGGAAUGCUUAGUGGCGGACUGGUGAGUAACGCGUGAGGAACCUACCUUCCAGAGGGGGACAACAGUUGGAAACGACUGCUAAUACCGCAUGACGCAUGACCGGGGCAUCCCGGGCAUGUCAAAGAUUUUAUCGCUGGAAGAUGGCCUCGCGUCUGAUUAGCUAGAUGGUGGGGUAACGGCCCACCAUGGCGACGAUCAGUAGCCGGACUGAGAGGUUGACCGGCCACAUUGGGACUGAGAUACGGCCCAGACUCCUACGGGAGGCAGCAGUGGGGAAUAUUGGGCAAUGGACGCAAGUCUGACCCAGCAACGCCGCGUGAAGGAAGAAGGCUUUCGGGUUGUAAACUUCUUUUGUCAGGGAAGAGUAGAAGACGGUACCUGACGAAUA